CAGAAUGUACGCCUGCAGGCGGACUCCCACCUUCCUCGUUACUCUUGAGGUUUGAGAUUCCCUGUUUGUGUCUGCAGGAUUCAGAUAGUCUCACAAGAUGACUACACAUAUGUAUGUAUGUAUAUAUGUAAGAAGAAAGUGUGACAGAAUAAGGACCAUGUAGGUGAGGGAUAAGAUGAAAUGAGCAGAAGCAGGCAGAAUACAUAGAUGAGCGAACGGAACAUCAAUCUCUUUAUAACCUCUUCUGUCUAUACUUCAAGAAUGGAUAUCCUACAAGCCGACUUCGUAGAGUCUCCCUUGAAAGUGGACCUCGUGAUCUAGCCUUUAUGUCCGUGGAUAGACACUGUUGUAUAUAUACACUUCCUCGGUUUCGAGAUUCCUGCUCUGGUGGUUGUAGUCAUAAGAUAUACAUAGUUGUGUAGUCAUUGCUCACAUCUUGGUUGUGGGCACACACACUAGUGUUGAAUUACCACCUUGUCCAAGUGGAUGGAUGCCCUCAAUGGGAU
rnacentral:lncRNA from 1 species